GGGAUUCCAUCUUGGACAUGAAAGUAAAAUACUACACAGCACAAGAAAAUGUUACUAUUUCUGUCUGAGGCCUCGCGUUGUUCUCAUCAAUCAUAAAUAUUCUACCAAAAAGCAUUGCCAAUUUGGAUAGUCAUCAAGCACAGGCUGUUUUACAUUCCAGGCAAUGAUCCAGCACUUAGUCUUUUAUACUACUACUGCUGCUACAGUGUUUUGAUUUACAGAAUCUUUGAGAAGAACAGCUAAUACAAAGCACUUACAUUAGCCUUGGCCCUUGAGGUAUCAUGCCUUGAUGUCUUACAACCAUUUCCUCCGACUGGCUGAUUUUUUGUCACCAGACAUAAAUCUAGGAAGACUAAGAAGGCUAUUAACCCUGGUUACUCCCUCGAGGGCUGACCAUUCCUGAUCUUCUGCAGUUGAAAGGCACUCGGCUAGGCUUCUCUUAGAAUGUCCAAGACCCUUAUCCGCUAGCUGUUCUUCUAUUGAUUCGUCAACAGGAACUAUCUCACUGGCGUCUAUUGUAGUAACUGAAUGUUCACGAACUGCAAUAUGAGUAGCAUUACUAUCUGCACUUUCAAGGUUGCCAUCAGUAAUAAUCGUCUUUAUUUCCACUUCAGGAGCCUUUGUCAAAUCAUGUUGCCUCGCUGUGACUACAGAAUCAGGUGCAGGUACACGGUCCAGGAAAAGGCAUACUACAGCACAAUCAUCAGUUUUUGAUGUCGGGUACUUCAGCCUCCAAGCUCUUGUCGCACAGUCAACAAGAGCUCGGGCAGCUGUUGCGCGACUUGGUGCGGAGGCCACAAUAUCCACGGCUUCCUUAUUAGAAAGUACAUCCCAAACCCCAUCAGUUGCUAGAACAACAAAUUCGUUCCUAUCAGUUAUGCGGUGGUAAUACACAUCAGGGACAGAAAUUAACCCAAAAUCCUUGAGACAAAAAUCACCAAAUGCUCUGGCCAUUGCCAAGCCAGGAGAGUCACUGUUCGGCAACCAUACACGCGCAACCUCUGGCUCAUCUUGCAAUGCAAAAACCCUGCCUUUGUAUUUAUGUAUUCUAGCAGCUUCUCUUGGAAGAUUAGGCUUCAAAUCUACUGUCAACUGUACAGCCAUUAAAUAGUUGUCUUUAUCUCUAGUUGCCAAUACUGCUCUUGAGUCACCAACAUUGCCAACAAUUAUAUCCUGGCCCUGCAUCACCAAGGAAACAGCAGUUGAUCCACUACAGAAACAAUCAAUAGAAGGGUGCAACUUGAGUUCUUUAUCCAUCGACCGGAAAGCUUUUAACAUUGAUCUUUUAAGGGGAAGAUGUAUUUCUGGGAACUUUUCAUUGUUCUCAGCUUCCAUAGCUUCAAUCAAAUCAUCAUCCAAGACAUCAUCAAGAUGUGAACCUCCGUUGGUAUUUCCUGUCUCAGAAGUAUUACUUUGAUCACCACCGGAUUUAACUUGCCACUCUGAACACAGGAGAAACGGAAGAGUAUCUCGAACUUUCCUUGCCACCAUAUGGCCAUAGGGACCGUGUCCAUCAAAUACUCCGCAAAAGAUCGUAUCACUUCGCGAGCAAAAAUUCUAUUGUAGAAAAUUCCAACCAAGUCAUAAACUCCCAAAUGAUCAUGGCAUCUUGAUUCGUUCCUUUUUUCCCUUGCUGAGUGUGUAGGCAAGCACGGGAGGUGGCUCCAUUCCCCAAAAUCCUUCCGGGAAUAUGAUGCAGCCCCUUGUCCUCACCCCCUCCUCCACCAACACCACUUAACUUGCUUAAAAAUGAGCUGAAAUCGCCACUAUAACUGUUCUUCUUCAACUUGUAAUCAAACCUUCUGCUGUCAUUCUUACCAUCCCACAACCCAUCAUCGCUCUUGCUUUUACUUGAAGAGUAACAAAUUCCCAUUCCCCCUUAAAAAUCUGCGUUCUCUCUCUGAGGAAAUUUAUCAAACACCUCAGAAUAA
rnacentral:misc_RNA from 1 species